GAUGAACGCUGGCGGCGUGCCUAAUACAUGCAAGUCGAGCGAACAGAUGAGGAGCUUGCUCCUCUGACGUUAGCGGCGGACGGGUGAGUAACACGUGGAUAACCUACCUAUAAGACUGGGAUAACUUCGGGAAACCGGAGCUAAUACCGGAUAAUAUAUUGAACCGCAUGGUUCAAUAGUGAAAGACGGUUUUGCUGUCACUUAUAGAUGGAUCCGCGCCGCAUUAGCUAGUUGGUAAGGUAACGGCUUACCAAGGCAACGAUGCGUAGCCGACCUGCGAGGGUGAUCGGCCACACUGGAACUGAGACACGGUCCAGACUCCUACGGGAGGCAGCAGUAGGGAAUCUUCCGCAAUGGGCGAAAGCCUGACGGAGCAACGCCGCGUGAGUGAUGAAGGUCUUCGGAUCGUAAAACUCUGUUAUUAGGGAAGAACAAAUGUGUAAGUAACUAUGCACGUCUUGACGGUACCUAAUCAGAAAGCCACGGCUAACUACGUG
rnacentral:rRNA from 1 species